rnacentral:rRNA from 1 species
CCUACGGGAGGCAGCAGUGAGGAAUAUUGGACAAUGGGCGCAAGCCUGAUCCAGCCAUGCCGCGUGCAGGAAGACGGUCCUAUGGAUUGUAAACUGCUUUUGUACAGGAAGAAACACUCCCUCGUGAGGGAGCUUGACGGUACUGUAAGAAUAAGGAUCGGCUAACUCCGUGCCAGCAGCCGCGGUAAUACGGAGGAUCCAAGCGUUAUCCGGAAUCAUUGGGUUUAAAGGGUCCGUAGGCGGUUUAAUAAGUCAGUGGUGAAAUCUGGUCGCUCAACGAUCAAACGGCCAUUGAUACUGUUAGACUUGAAUUAUUAGGAAGUAACUAGAAUAUGUAGUGUAGCGGUGAAAUGCUUAGAUAUUACAUGGAAUACCAAUUGCGAAGGCAGGUUACUACUAAUGGAUUGACGCUGAUGGACGAAAGCGUGGGGAGCGAACAGGAUUAGAUACCCUGGUAGUCCACGCCGUAAACGAUGGAUACUAGCUGUUCGGAGCAAUCUGAGUGGCUAAGCGAAAGUGAUAAGUAUCCCACCUGGGGAGUACGUUCGCAAGAAUGAAAACUCAAAUGAAUUGACGG